CUCCCAAUGAAGAAGAAUUCCCAUAUAGGAAGUGCCGUCUGACUCAAAAAAGCAGUAAUUAGGUCGCAUGGUUAGAUCUCUGAACUUAUCGUUACCGCCGUUGAAUCUUCCUGCUCAUUGGUAAUCCUAUACCAAUCUCCACCGUCUGAUGUAUCAUCUCCUCUUUGUAGGAUCUGAUUUCAGCAGACUGAUUGGUCGGAUUCCUUUGUGCCUGAUUUUCUCAACGAUCCCGGUAUUGUUUCGUUCUUUCGAUCUAUCUCUGUCCUCUUUACUGUGUGUGUGAUUUUGAACGGGUCUCUGAGGGUU